GUAAGAGAAAAAUUACAGCUAAACACAAACACCGCAGAAAUUUAAAAACAGCCCUGGUCCUUAACGGUAAUAAAAUUGAAAAAUGGUCUGGUCACUAAAGGGUUAAAGAUGGCUGACUCUACUGAACACGGUUAAGCCAAAAGAUGUACUGAAAAUAGGUCUUUUUAUAUGUAAGAUUGCAAAGUCAUACACAGAGAGACUGUAAUAUAUAUAAGAUUUCAAAUAAUAAAAAUUGUCAAUUUUCCUUUAAUGCUUUUCUUUGUUCAUGUACUUUGCUAUAGAUAUGGGUCAGGC